rnacentral:misc_RNA from 1 species
UCGAGUUCUAAACUCCCAAACCUUUGUGAACAUACCUUUGUUGCCUCGGCGGUUUAACCACCGCCGGCGGCCAACCAAACUCUGUUUUCUACAGUAUCUUCUGAGUUAUCUUAUAAAUAAGAAUUA